CGGCAAUAGCUCAAAUUUGAAAUCUGGAGUUUUUGAACUUCCGAGUUGUAAUUUGAAGAGGAUGCUUUGGUUGUGGCCUUUGUCUAAGUGCCUUGGAACAGGAUGUCAUGGAGGGUGAGAAUCCCGUAUAUGACUAUAGGCUUUCUUCCAUGUAUAGCACCUUCGAA
rnacentral:rRNA from 1 species